UACGUAGGGGGCAAGCGUUGUCCGGAAUCAUUGGGCGUAAAGCGCGUGUAGGCGGCUCGAUAAGUCUGCUGUGAAAGUUCAGGGCUCAACCCUGAAAUGCCGGUGGAAACUGUCGAGCUAGAGUGCGGAAGAGGUGAGCGGAAUUCCUGGUGUAGCGGUGAAAUGCGCAGAUAUCAGGAGGAACACCAAUGGCGAAGGCAGCUCACUGGGACGUUACUGACGCUGAGACGCGAAAGCGUGGGGAGCAAACAGG
rnacentral:rRNA from 1 species